AACGUAGGACACGAGCGUUAUCCGGAGUUACUGGGCGUAAAGGGCGUUUAGGCGGGUGAUUAAGUUCGCUAUGAAAGCGCCGGGCUAAACCCGGCGAGGCUGGCGGAUACUGGUCAUCUGGAGUGAGGGAGAGGGAAGUAGAAUUCCGCGUGUAGUGGUGAAAUGCGUAGAGAUGCGGAGGAAUACCAGUGGCGAAGGCGACUUCCUGGCCCUCAACUGACGCUGAAGCGCGAAAGCAUGGGGAGCGAACGGG
rnacentral:rRNA from 1 species